CGCGUAGGUGGCGCGGGUAGUCGUCGGUGAAAGUUCAGGGCUCAACCCUGAAUCGGCCGGUGAUACUCCCGUGCUUGAGUGUGGUAGAGGCCAAUGGAAUUCCGGGUGUAGCGGUGGAAUGCGUAGAGAUCCGGAAGAACACCGGUGGCGAAGGCGGUUGGCUGGGCCACAACUGACACUGAUGCGCGACAGCGUGGGGAGCAAACA
rnacentral:rRNA from 1 species